UCCGAAGCUCCAACAAGGGGGAGGCUUUGAAUAUCUAAAGCUUGUAGGAUCGACUCGCAGUCGAAAUCUUUCAUUGCUUCAGUGUCCCAACACUGGAUACACCCUUGCCUAUCUGAAAGAUCCAUCAACGAUGAUUGGACAGGCUACCAUCUACAUACGUCCACUUCAACAGGAUCUACCCUUAGAUUGUGAGAGCUCACGUCCGGCCUCUGGUCCAGUCAUCCCCUGCAUCACUUGUCAGAAGGAAGUUCCCUUUUCAGAGAUGAAGCCGCACAGAUUGAGCUGCGAUGGAAUGGAAGCUUAUUAAAGAACCCACUCAAGCUGCCAAAGUUUUCAAAGAGAAUCUGCUAUGGAAACAUGCAACUGGGAAACCACUUAGAAUGAAGAUGGAUGAAAGGGAGUCUGAAGAGGACCGGGAACGGGAACUUCUCUUAUUCUAAACAGCAGCAAGAAUGGGCAUGUCCACUUCAUACUUCGUACUCUGGUUGGUAAGUAAUAUAAAGUUUAUAAUAUAAAUACAUCAGUACAGUUUUUACCAC